GUUGUAUGGUUAAGUGAUUAAGCGUAGACGGUGGAUGCCUUGGCAGUCAGAGGCGAUGAAGGACGUAUUAACUUGCGAUAAGCCCAGAUAAGGCAGUAAAAGCCAUUUGAGUCUGGGAUUUCCGAAUGGGGAAACCCACCUGCAUAAGCAGGUAUCUUAGCGUGAAUACAUAGCGCUAAGAGGCGAACUCGGG
rnacentral:rRNA from 1 species